ACCCAUCGCCCAAUGUUCUGUUGGCCAAAUCCAUCAACCGAUGUCCAACCACAGCAUCCCAGUUGGCUGAACCCAUCAACCAGUGACGAAUGAUGGCAUUCCAGUUGGCCAAACCCAUUGGACAAUGUUCCGUUGGCCAAACCCUUCAGUCAAUCACAAGCCACGGCGUACCAGUUGGCCAAAUCCAUCGGUCGAUGGCCAACCACAGCGUCCCAGUUGGCCAAACCCAUUGCCCAAUGUCCAGUUGACCAAACCUUUCAGUCCAUGACCAACCACAGUGUCCCAGUUGGCCAAACCCAUCAACCAAUAACCAAUCACGGCGUUCCAGUUGGCCAAACCCAUUAGCCAAUGGCAAACGAUGGCAUUCCCGAUGGUCAAAUCCACUGGCCGAUGUCCAGUUGGCCAAACCCAUCAACCAAUGACGAAUGACGGUGUUCCAGUUGGCCAAACCCAGCGCCCAAUGUUCCAUUGGCCAAAUCCAUCAACUGAUGGCCAACCACGGCGUUCCAGUUGGCCAAACCCAUCAACCAAUGACCAUCAACAGUGUCCCAGUAGGCUGAACCCUUUUGGACAAUCUUCUGUUGGCCAAACCCUUUUGGACAAUCUUCUUUUGGCCAAAUCCAUCAGUCAAUGACCAUAUAUGGUGUUCCAGUUGGCCAAACCCAUCAGUCAGUGACCAACCACAGCAUCCCACUUGGCCAAACCCAUCAACCAAUCACAAGCCACAGCAUUCCAGUUGGCCAAAUCCAGCGCCCAAUGUUCUGUUGGCCAAAUCCAUCAACCGAUGGCCAACCACCGCUUUCCAGUUGGCCAAACCCAUCAACCAACGACAAACGAUGGCAUUCCAGUUGGCCAAAUUCAUCAGUCGAUGACCAACCACAGCGUUCCAGUUGGCCAAACCCAUCAACCAAUGACGAUCAAUGGUGUUCCAGUUGGCCAAACCCAUCGCCCAAUGUUCCAGUUGGCCAAACCCUUCAAUUGAUGGCCAACCACAGCAUCCCACUUGACCAAACCCAUCAACUAAUGACAAAUGACGGCGUUCCAGUUGGCCAAACCCAUCAACCAAUGACAACUAAUGGUACUCCACUUGGCCAAAUCCAUCGCCCAAUGUUCUGUUGGCCAAACCCAUCAACUGAUGGCCAACCACAGCGUCCCAGUUGGCCGCCCCCACCAGCCAACAUCCAGUUGGCCACGCCAUCAUCCUGCCGACCAAGCACCGCUCUCCAGUUGCCCGAGCCCACCCCCCAGCGGCCCCCCUCACCCUGAUGUCACCGCCCCGAAGCCGGGCCGUCCCCCGGCAGCACCGAACCCCGGCUGCCGAGAGCGCGGGCGCCCACCCUGAGCGGUGCCGGGGCACGAUGGAGGGGGGUGGGCCGGGCGCCCGCCGCGCAACUCAAUGCACCAAGACCUUGAU
rnacentral:lncRNA from 1 species